GCUCUUCUCAGGGUCCCAGUACCUUACCCUACUCCUGGUUGGGCAGGGGCUCCUCUUCUGGGGACAUGAGGUGGCUUGUGCUGAAGUUCUGGGGUUUCCCUCUGUCCUGCCUCCCCCAUAGGUAUGUCCACAGGAUAGGCCUUUGGCUGCACCAGGUAGGAAUCAGAUGGUUCCUGCAAUGCCUCACUGUGCUGCACUGUGUCUGAGGACACCUCCUUGACUUUCACACUUACUGUGACCUGGGAACAAGAUACCUAUGUCACUGGCAAGUCAGGCACUGGGAAAAAUGGGGCUAGGAGGAAACAUCUCCCA